GGACAGGAGACAUGCCUACUACCAUCAAAUACAGGCUCAGCUCCACCUCGUUGAUGUUGACUACUGCGACUUUGUUGUCUGGACUAAAAAUGACCUCUUUGUAGAGAGAAUUGUGCGUGAUGUGGACCUGUGGGACAACAUCAUUCCCAGAGUUGAGCGUUUCUUCAGACUAUGUGUUCUCCCUGAAGUGUUGGGACAGCAACUUACAAGGGGAAAGUUUCAGUUGCAAGAUGAUCAGGAGGGAGAGAAGGCGUGAUUACCAGCACCUGUGGUCUGUCCUGGUCCCGGAAGUUGUGGUUCUCUCCUUGUUGCAUUAUUAUUACGUGCCGUAGUGGGUGCUGGUGUUUGGGUGUGUGUGGGUGUCUUUUUCUCUCUCCCUCUGAUCUCCCCAGGUGCUCCCAAUCUCCAAUCAGCGCCUCCAUAUAGGACAUGAGGAAGGUUGCAGUCGCUCUCCCCUUAUCUUAAGCUUUGUUUGACAAGUUGGCUGGUGAGCCCUUUUUCGUUGUGUUAAUUAAAAGACCACUUUAUGGCGUCAGAGAUCA